rnacentral:rRNA from 1 species
GACGAACGCUGGCGGCGUGCUUAACACAUGCAAGUCGAACGGAAAGGCCCGGCUUUUGUGGGGUGCUCGAGUGCCGAACGGGGGAGAAUCACGCGAGGAACCUGUCCCUUACUUUGGGGUAACUUCAGGGAACUCGGGCGAAUACCGGAUAUGAGCUCCUGCUGCAUGGGUGUUGUUGGUGAGUGUCGGCGUUUUGGGAUGGACUCGCGGCUUAUCAGCGUGUUGGUGAGGUAGUGGCUUACCAGGGCUUUGACGGGUCGCCGGCCUGAGAGGGUGACCGGGCACAAUGGGACUGAGGUAGGGGCCAGACUGCUACGUGAGGCAGCAGGGGGGAAUAUUGCACAAUGGGCGGAAGCAUGAUGCAGCGACGCCGCGUGCGGGAUGACGGCUUUCGGGGUGUAAACCGCUUUCGACUGUGACGAAGAGUGAGUGACGGUAACUGGUCAGGAAGCAACGGCUAACUACGUG